GUCCAUGCCGUAAACGUUGGGCACUAGGUGUGGGACCCCCUCAACGGGUUCCGUGCCGUAGCUAACGCAUUAAGUGCCCCGCCUGGGGAGUACGGCCGCAAGGCUAAAACUCAAAGGAAUUGACGGGGCCCGCACAAGCAGCGGAGCAUGUUGCUUAAUUCGAGGCAACGCGAAGAACCUUACCUGGGUUUGACAUGCUGGGAAAAGCCACAGAGAUGUGGUGUCCUUUUGGGCCCAGCACAGGUGGUGCAUGGUUGUCGU
rnacentral:rRNA from 1 species